UCCUCCAGUCCACAUCAACUCCAGCCACAGCUGCCCUGGACAUGCAGAGAGCAGUCUCCUGAGGCGCAGCGAAGCUGUAGGGAGCUUCUCAGGGGUUGCUCUUCAGCAGCACAGGUGUUCAGAAGCCAGUCUCAGGAGUCACCUCUCCUGAUUCAGAUCUUGGCUCUGCCGUUCACCAGGGUCCAGAAGUCAGAGACAACUCCAGGAGGUAACCAGUGUCUACCUGUGGUGCCAGAGACUGACUACUAAAGCAGAGGAGAGGGCACAGAUAAAGCCUGUCCCACAGUGCCUGGGUCCUACAGUUCUACCACUCAAAGAAUGUACUGGAAAAAGAAGUUUGGAGAUUCUAUUAAAUAACAAGAAGACAGCAUUCUCAGUUCCUCCCAUGGGCCAGAAGGAUCAAAAUGAAGCAAAUAAACCAAUCUAAUGAGCUAGAGCCCAGGUUGAUAAUAUACCUAUUAUAUUUCUCAAUGAAUCUACCUUGCUCCCUGAAGAAACAAAUUGAAAGAAUAUGUGUGUAAGAAGAUGAACACUGAGUGAAGCUCAUUUUCAUAUUGCCCUUCAAUUGGGGAAAGAUGACUACAGGCUUGCAAGCCCACAUUCAUCUAGUUCCUGUUUAGAAGCACCUGAAUCAUAGCUGUUACUUGCUACACAAAACUGUAUUACAGUCUGACUUCAGAAUUUAUCAUCUGCAUAAAUAUGGAUGGGCUCAUUUCUUUCAUCGCUGUAAUCUUUUCUGUGAGUGUAUUGUUUGUGUACUCUGUGGGGGCUUUGCUAGGAGACUAAGCACCCUAAUUCAACACUCAGAAUUUGCAGAAUUCAAAUUUAAGAAAAUAAUGUAGAAGCAAGAUGGAAAAAAAUGAUCUUUCUUGUCUUUGGUUGUAAAAGGAGUCAUUGUCUCUCCUCCCUUUGGGAACAUUUUACCCUCCAUUUAUUAUUAACAUUUAUUGAAUGCAUAUUGCUUUGCCAGGUGCUGUUUUAAGAAAUUUGCAUGUAUGCAACAAUUUAUUUCUUGCAAUAUUCUAUGAGAUAAAUAACUUGUUAUAUGCUUGUAUCAGAUGAGCAUGCUGAGACUCACCUAUUAAGUAAUAGAUGUGGGAGUUAAACCCAGAAAAUGA